rnacentral:rRNA from 1 species
AAAAACAUCGCUCUUUGCUCAAUUAGUAUAAAGAGUCGUGCCUGCCCAGUGAUUUAUAUUUUAACGGCCGCGGUACUCUGACCGUGCAAAGGUAGCAUAAUCAUUUGCCUUAUAAUUGAAGGCUAGUAUGAAUGGUUUGACAAGAAUAGAGCUGUCUCUAUACAAAUUUUAUAGAAUUUGGUUUUUAGGUGAAGAAACCUGAAUAAAAUUGAAAGACAAGAAGACCCUAUCGAGCUUAAAAUAAGUUUUUCGAUUUAUGUUAAAAUCUAUUCCGUAAAAAAAUUUUGGUUGGGGCGACUAAGGAACAUAAAAAGCUUCCUAUAAAAUAUAUAAAUUAUAGAAUCUUGAUCCAAAAGUUUUGAUUAACAGAAUUAGUUACCGUAGGGAUAACAGCAUAAUCUUUUUUGAGAGUUCUUAUCGAAAAAAAGGUUUGUGACCUCGAUGUUGGACUAGGAUACCCAGAUAGGUGCAGAAGCCUUCAAAGGUUGGUCUGUUCGACCAUUAACAUCCUACGUGAUCU